rnacentral:lncRNA from 1 species
AUGUAUUUUUUUUUUUUUACCAUGAUAAAAAGGAAAGAGAAAGAAAGUUAUUUGCCCCAGGUCCUGGAGCUAGGGGAGCUGAGCGCUGAGCCUGGCCCCUGGGGGUGGCCUGAGUUUCCUGGGCCUGGCUCUCGGCUUGCUCAGGACAAAGGGAGUGGCUCACAGUGGCCGAGAAGUUACAGUAGCAGCAGGACCAGCCACAACGGGACGACAGCGCUUCUCGGCCUCCAGGAAAGUUGGAAAUACCUCAGCUUUUUAUGCCAGUCUCACUAACAGCUGCCAAGACAGAUGUGGGCCUCUCAGCUGUAGUCCUUCCUCCUCACGUCCAUAGAGUGUCCGAGAGAGUUAACAGGCUGAAUUCAGAAGAAGCAGGAGUUAGCAUCUUUGUUUUACAGGUGAAGCAACUCACUGAACACCCCCCUCCUUGCAAAUAAUGAAUGUCCAAGCUAUUAGCGACCUUAUAAAAUACCGGGAAUUUAAAAAUAAAAUUGUAAACCACAGAAAUGAACAAAAGGGGAAAAAGAACAGGGUCAUUAAAGUCAUUCAGUGGGCUGGGACAGGUCCCCCCACUGUGGUUACUGCCAAGGCUAAAUUGCAGUGUGUCAUGCCAUCUGCCCUGGUCUUCUUCCUGUCACUCCCGAGAGCUUUUUAUUCCACUUUAUUUUAGGAGUGCCGAAAGGUGGGUUUCUAAUUCUAUUCCUCUCUAGUUCUUUUUAUAGUGCUCAGAUCUGGGCAAAUAUCAGUCACAUAAAAGUGUGUCCUCUUUUUUUGUAUUUUAAAUCAGCCAGAGUUUAAUAACUUGAAUUUCCUGCUUCUUUGGAAUUCAUCACCUGCUGUUUGCGGAGCCAGGUGCACCUGCACAGUUUCCUGAGCCCACGCCUACCUGCCGGACUGCCUGCCAGGCCAUUAGCAAGGCCAGUGGACAAACCACACACUUGGGUGUUCUUAGAGUCUGUCACUUUCGUGAUAGUGAGAUGCUCUGGGCUGCCUGCAACCCCUCCCAGUGUUUGCCAGACAACUGAGCUGGAGGCAGGGGUUCAUCUGGAAAAUGCCAGCAAGCAACGGAACGUUCUCAGACACCUUUUACCUAUGAGGACAGUGAGUCAUGGCCCUGAGUUUGUUGGGGUCUUUUUAUUUGCGCCUAUAUAUAUAUAUGCAUUCUCCCAAAGGCUUUGAAUAAGGUACUCCAGCAGGAGAUGCCUGAGCCUUGCUCACACACUCAUCUUGCCCCUUCAGUGCUGACAGCCUUGAAUUCCAACUGCCGACCCCUCCUUUUGUGUCCUGAGGACCUUCCCUUGAGCUGGAGCCCCCCUUUGCCACCUGUGCCACCCGCCUAAGUGCUAGGGAACUUCAUGAAGCCCUGGGGAGCAGCCUCCCCAUAGUGGUGAGCAGGAGUUGGUGUAUAAAUACCCCAGCUCCCUUGCCCCUCAGGUGGGAUGAUCUGAGGUGUGUGUUCUUCAUUGGCUUCCAGAGCUUUCCGAGCAGACUGAAGCUUCAGUCACCCACGGUGGUGGCUGGUUUGAUACUACAUGCUUUCUUGGCUGCCUUCCUUUCCCUGUCUCACUUCACCGUGCCCCUGCCAGCACUCCUGGGAUCAUCUUCCAAAUAAACUGCUCCAUCUGGAAUCUCUGUCUUAGAGUCACAUUCAAGGAAACCCCCCCCCCCCCGGUCCCCAAAGGCCUACCUCUGUCAAUGGGAUGUUGUUGCAGGGGUGGAGGAACAGACACUGGACAUCUGGGAGUUUCCCUCACAAAAUCAGAAUGUGUGACCACUUCUCUAAGCCUGAGCUGUAGUAUACAGUUUGGGGGCCCUCUGAUACACUUUGGGGUUCCUCUGGCUGCCACCCCCAACCCAGGAGUGGUGGGCUGAUAGGAAACCCAGCCAGAGGCAUUCAGAACGCAUGCCCAGGGGGACAGAGAUUAUGCAAUGCUAGGACAGUGGUAUAAAGGAGGCCCCAUCAUGUUCUGCUGCCACCACCAUCAUGGGCAUCCUCCUGCCCCGUCUCCUAUCUGGGAGGAAGGAGGUGGAGACAUAAUAGAGGAAGUAGAUUCGGGGAGAAGAAUGGGAAGAAAAAGCAAAAGGCCUUUCUGCAUCCUUCUCAUUUAGAUUCAACUUAUUUUUUUUUUCCCUGAAGUAUAUUUUUUAGUGUUUCUUUCGAGGAGGAUCUACUAGAAGCAAACUUUGCAUUUUUAUUUGAGUAAAGAUGUCUUUAUUUUGUUCUUGCUCUUGAAUAGCAUAGCAGUUUGGCUACACUCCACAGUCGACGUUGGUCGUUGUGUGCUGUCAGCGUGUACGUUGCCUCCUGGCUUCUCUAGCUGAUACUGCGGACGCUGUUUUCAGUCGGACGGUUGUUGUUUUGCAGGUAAGCCUGUUUCUUUGUGUUUUAAUUUCCAGUGUCUCUGUCCUGAGAGAUUAAAUCCCUCAUCCCUUGCUAAUUUCUGCAGUUUCAUUUUCGUCUGUCUGGGU